CACCGCCCGUCACUCCUACUGAUUGAAUAACCCGGUGAAAUGUUUGGAUCGCGGCGACGUGGGUGCAUCGCGGGCCGCCCGCGAUGCUGCGAGAACUCCAUUGAACCUUAUUAUUUUGAGGAAGGAGAAUUCGUAACAAAGUUUUCGUAGGUGAACCUGCGGAAG
rnacentral:ncRNA from 1 species